GAGAUAACCAAGGUGACUUGUAAGCAACUUACUAUGCUUUAAUGCCAGACCAUCUAAAUUUUUAAUUCAGUUAUGAAAGAUUUUUGGGUACAGUCAAGUAUUUAUCAAGUCGGUGCUUGAGUCAAAAUGAGAUUGACCCCUUUGAAUAAGUAGGAGUUAAUACAUCAGUAUCUUUCAAUUUAGUAAAAUCUUAGUCAAGAUAAAUCAUGUGAUGAAUUUAAAAAGUUGAAAUACAAUGUGGUC
rnacentral:lncRNA from 1 species